UCUUUUCCUUUUUUGCCCGCCGCCGCGGUAAAACGUAGGUCACAAGCGUUGUCCGGAAUUACUGGGUGUAAAGGGAGCGCAGGCAGGAGAACAAGUUGGAAGUGAAAUCCAUGGGCUCAACCCAUGAACUGCUUUCAAAACUGUUUUUCUUGAGUAGUGCAGAGGUAGGCGGAAUUCCCGGUGUAGCGGUGGAAUGCGUAGAUAUCGGGAGGAACACCAGUGGCGAAGGCGGCCUACUGGGCACCAACUGACGCUGAGGCUCGAAAGUGUGGGUAGCAAACAGG
rnacentral:rRNA from 1 species